UUUUCCCCAUUUCGGCCAUGCUAACCCUGCCUUCUGAGGUGCUGGCGGUGCCCCAGCUGCGUUGGUGACCUCUUCCUUCGCCUUGUGCUUCCACUGAGCCCCCGGUGUCAGCUGGGAAUGCCCUCAGCAGCAUGUCUAUCAGUGUGCGCUUGUAGUCGCGCAUCUUUCGAUCAUGCUCCAGUGAGGGAAUUAAGGACGGCACGUUGUCCUUGUAAUGGGAAUCCGGCAGGGUGGACACCCAAUAAUCAGCACAAGUUAGAAUGUGGGCAACUCGGCCGCAGGGUUCGAUUCCGGAGAGGGAGCUUGAGAAACAGCUACCACAUCCAAGGAAGGCAGCAGGCGCGCAAAUUACCCACUCCCAACACUGGGAGGUAGUGACGAUAAAUAACAAUACAGGACUCUUUCGAGGCUCUGUAAUUGGAAUGAGUACACUUUAAAUCCUUUAACGAGGAUCUACUGGAGGGCAAGUCUGGUGCAGAGCGACUGACCCGUGCGUGCUGCAGCUGAAACUCCACUAUCGCCUGCUGCUG